UUGAACGCUGGCGGCAUGCCUUACACAUGCAAGUCGAACGGUAGAGGGGCAACCCUUGAGAGUGGCGAACGGGUGAGUAAUGCAUCGGAACGUGCCCAGUCGUGGGGGAUAACGCAGCGAAAGCUGUGCUAAUACCGCAUGUGAUCUGUGGAUGAAAGCAGGGGACCGCAAGGCCUUGUGCGAUUGGAGCGGCCGAUAUCAGAUUAGGUAGUUGGUGGGGUAAAAGCCCACCAAGCCGACGAUCUGUAGCUG
rnacentral:rRNA from 1 species